rnacentral:tRNA from 2 species
GGUGUGUUUAGUCCUAUGUUACGGCCAUAGGGAGGGUAUAAUUACCACACGCUU